GAUCCUGGCUCAGGACGAACGCUGGCGGCGCGCCUAACACAUGCAAGUCGAACGAGAGAGAGGGAGCUUGCUUCCUCAAUCGAGUGGCGAACGGGUGAGUAACGCGUGAGGAACCUGCCUCAAAGAGGGGGACAACAGUUGGAAACGACUGCUAAUACCGCAUAAGCCCACGACCCGGCAUCGGAAAGAGGGAAAAGGAGCAAUCCGCUUUGAGAUGGCCUCGCGUCCGAUUAGCUAGUUGGUG
rnacentral:rRNA from 1 species